UGGGGAAUAUUGUGCAAUGGGCGAAAGCCUGACGCAGCGACGCCGCGUGGGGAUGACGGCCGUCGGGUUGUAAACCUCUUUCAGCAGGGACGAAGCGGAAGUGACGGUACCUGCAGAAGAAGCACCGGCCAACUACGUGCCAGCAGCCGCGGUAAAUACGUAGGGGUGCAAGCGUUGUCCGGAAUUAUUGGGCGUAAAGAGCUCGUAGGCGGUUCGUCGCGUCGGCUGUGAAAACCUGAGGCUCAACCUCAGGCCUGCAGUUCGAUACGGGCGGACUUGAGUACUGCAGGGAGACUGGAAUUCCUGGUGUAGCGGUGAAAUGCGCAGAUAUCAGGAGGAACACCGGUGGCGAAGGCGGUCUCUUGGGCAGUAACUGACGCUGAGGAGCGAAAGCGUGGGGAGCGAACA
rnacentral:rRNA from 1 species